AGCGAACGCUGGCGGCAGGCCUAACACAUGCAAGUCGAGCGGCCGUAGCAAUACGGCAGCGGCAGACGGGAGAGUAACACGUGGGAACGCGCCCUUCGGUUCGGGAUAACCCAGGGAAACUUGGGCUAAUACCGGAUACGCCCUUACGGGGAAAGAUUUAUUGCCGAAGGAACGGCCCGCGUCCGAUUAGCUAGUUGGUGAGGUAAUGGCUCACCAAGGCGACGAUCGGUAGCUGGUCUGAGAGGAUGACCAGCCUCACUGGGACUGAGACACGGCCCAGACUCCUACGGGAGGCAGCAGUGGGGAAUAUUGGACAAUGGGCGCAAGCCUGAUCCAGCCAUGCCGCGUGGGUGAUGAAGGCCCUAGGGUUGUAAAGCCCUUUCAGCGGGGAAGAUAAUGACGGUACCCGCAGAAGAAGCCCCGGCUAACUUCGUGCCAGCAGCCGCGGUAA
rnacentral:rRNA from 1 species